UGCAUAUCAAUAAGCGGAGGAAAAGAAACUAACAAGGAUUCCCCUAGUAACUGCGAGUGAAGCGGGAAAAGCUCAAAUUUGAAAUCUGGCAGUCUUUUUUUUCUUCUUUGGCUGUCCGAGUUGUAAUCUAGAGAAGUGCUUACCUGCGCUGGACCAUGUAUAAGUCUCCUGGAAUGGAGCGUCACAGAGGGUGAGAAUCCCGUCUUUGACAUGGACUGCCAGUGUGUUGUGGUGUGCUCUCAAAGAGUCGAGUUGUUUGGGAAUGCAGCUCUAAAUGGGUGGUAAACUCCAUCUAAAGCUAAAUAUUGGCGAGAGACCGAUAGCGAACAAGUACCGUGAGGGAAAGAUGAAAAGGACUUUGGAAAGAGAGUUAAACAGUAUGUGAAAUUGUUGAAAGGGAAACGCUUGAAGUCAGUUAUGUUGGCUAGGGAUCAACCUAGCUGUUUUUUUGCUGGGUGAAUUUCCUAGUCUGACAGGCCAACAUCAGUCUUGACUGCUGGAAAAGAGCAGUGGGAAUGUGGCACCUUCGGGUGUGUUAUAGCCCUUUGUCAUAUGUGGCAGUCGAGACUGAGGGAUGCAGCAUGCCGUGAGGCUGGGUCUCUGACCAUGUUGCAUGCUUAGGAUGUU
rnacentral:rRNA from 1 species